UACGGAGGGUGCAAGCGUUAAUCGGAAUUACUGGGCGUAAAGCGCGCGUAGGCGGCUUGGUCAGUUGGAUGUGAAAGCCCAGGGCUCAACCUUGGAAUGGCAUUCAAUACUGCCAGGCUCGAGUACGGGAGAGGAAGGUGGAAUUCCACGUGUAGCGGUGAAAUGCGUAGAGACGUGGAGGAAUACCAGUGGCGAAGGCGGCCUUCUGGCCUGAUACUGACGCUGAGGCGCGAAAGCAUGGGGAGCAAACAGG
rnacentral:misc_RNA from 1 species